rnacentral:rRNA from 1 species
GACGAACGCUGGCGGCGUGCUUAACACAUGCAAGUCGAACGGAAAGGCCCUGCUUUUGUGGGGUGCUCGAGUGGCGAACGGGUGAGUAACACGUGAGUAACCUGCCCUUGACUUUGGGAUAACUUCAGGAAACUGGGGCUAAUACCGGAUAGGAGCUCCUGCUGCAUGGUGGGGGUUGGAAAGUUUCGGCGGUUGGGGAUGGACUCGCGGCUUAUCAGCUUGUUGGUGGGGUAGUGGCGUACCAAGGCUUUGACGGGUAGCCGGCCUGAGAGGGUGACCGGCCACAUUGGGACUGAGAUACGGCCCAGACGCCUACGGGAGGCAGCAGUGGGGAAUAUUGCACAAUGGGCGGAAGCCUGAUGCAGAAACGCCGCGUGCGGGAUGACGGCCUUCGGGUUGUAAACCGCUGUCGCCGGUGACGAAGCGUGAGUGACGGUAAUGGGUAAAGAAGCACCGGCUAACUACGUG